GUGGAUUAGAUACCCUAGUAGUCCACGCCCUAAACGAUGCGAACUAGGUGUUGGGGGAGGAGACUUCCUUAGUACCGCAGCUAACGCGUGAAGUUCGCCGCCUGGGGAGUACGGUCGCAAGAUUAAAACUCAAAGGAAUUGACGGGGACCCGCACAAGCGGUGGAUGAUGUGGAUUAAUUCGAUGCAACGCGAAAAACCUUACCUACCCUUGACAUGCCUGGAACCCUGCUGAGAGGUGGGGGUGCCCGAAAGGGAGCCGGGACACAGGUGCUGCACGGCUGUCGUCAACU
rnacentral:rRNA from 1 species